rnacentral:lncRNA from 1 species
AGGGAAGCUGACUGUGUAACUCCUAGUUGAGUGUGAAGACCUGAGGUAUCAGGGGUAGGGGUUGCUCUGCUUGUGUAAGUCCCAUAGUGUGAAGGCCAGAGAACCAAGAGAUGGUCAAGAAGAGAGAGUAAGUGUCCAAUGUCCCAGCUCAAGAAGAGAGAAAACUUUUGUGGAUAGCUAAGUUACUGCUAGCCAUCUGAUUAUAGCAAUGGCUUCCAGGAGCAUCACGACCUGUGCAGACUCCCCAGCAUCAUAACAGGAAGGUCCCACGAUCACGAGCACAUUGCCUUCAGCAUCCAGCACUGAAUAUGGUGAAUUGCACUCUGAAGAGCUUCCUAAGCUUGUAAGAAAGUGAUUCUGAAAAGCUCAACAUUUUGGUAGAAUGGAGAGAUUUGACAUUGCUUCUGCUCCAAAAGCAAAAGACUUGGCUUAGGUGACUGCAGCAAGAGAUGUCCAGAGUCUCAACAUUGGGUGAUUGAAGAGCAGAAAGACUGGCAUGAAAUAUCUGUCAACAUAGCUCAACAAGGAAUCAGGAAGAGAGAGUCUUCAAGAUGGCUGACUAGAGGCAUCUGGUACUUGCCUCCUCCACAAAGAAGAACCAAAAUAGCAAGUAUAUUAUUACACUUCGAAUAGAUCAUCUAAGAAAGAACACUGGAAUUCAACCAAGAAGUGGCAAUAAAUACCUAAGGCAAGGAAGGAGA